GCAAGUCGAGGGGUAACGAUAGUGCUUGCACUAGGCGACGACCGGCGCACGGGUGAGUAACGCGUAUGCAACCUACCUUUAACUGGAGGAUAGCCCAGGGAAACUUGGAUUAAUACUACAUACGAUAUACGAUUCGCAUGUUUUGUAUAUCAAAGUUCCGGCGGUUAAAGAUGGGCAUGCGUGCCAUUAGAUUGUUGGUGAGGUAACGGCUCACCAAGUCUUCGAUGGCUACGGGGUCUUAAAGGAUGGUC
rnacentral:rRNA from 1 species